GCCGGGAUGGUGGAAUUGGCAGACACAACGGACUUAAAAUCCGUUGGAGCAGAAGCUCCGUGCGGGUUCAAGUCCCGCUCCCGGCACCA
rnacentral:tRNA from 1 species